rnacentral:rRNA from 1 species
GUUGUAUGGUUAAGUGACUAAGCGUACAUGGUGGAUGCCUUGGCAGUCAGAGGCGAUGAAGGACGUACUAACCUGCGAUAAGCUGUGAGAAGUCGGUAAGAGACGCUAUUACUCACAGAUUUCCGAAUGGGGAAACCCACCCAAGAUAACUUGGGUAUCGUUACAUGAAUACAUAGUGUAACGAGGCGAACCGGGAGAACUGAAACAUCUAAGUACCCCGAGGAAAAGAAAUCAACCGA